ACUGACGCUCAUGCACGAAAGCGUGGGGAGCAAACAGGAUUAGAUACCCUGGUAGUCCACGCCCUAAACGAUGUCAACUACUUGUUGGGGAUUCAUUUCUUCAAUAACGAACCUAACGCGUGAAGUUGACCGCCUGGGGAGUACGGUCGCAAGAUUAAAACUCAAAGGAAUUGACGGGGACCCGCACAACCGGUGGAUGAUGUGGAUUAAUUCAAUGCAACGCGAAAAACCUUACCUACCCUUGACGUGCCACUAACGAAUCAGAGAUGCAUUAUGUGCCCGAAAGGUAAAGUGGACACACGUGCUGCAUGGCUGUCGUCGGCUCGUGUCGUGAGAUGUUGGGUUAAGUCCCGCAACGAGCGCGACCCUUGUCUCUAGUUGCUACUAAAGGGCACUCUAGAGACACUGCCGGUGACAAACCGGAAGAGUGUGGGAUAUGACGUCAAGUCCUCAUGGCCUUUAUGGUUAGGGCUUUCACACGUCAUACAAUGGUGCGUACAGAGGGUUGUCCAAUCCCGCGAGGGGGAGCUAAUCCCAGAACAACGCAUCGUACUCCAGGAUCGUACUCCACAACUCGACUACGUGAAUGCUGGAAUCUCUAGUAAUCG
rnacentral:rRNA from 1 species